rnacentral:rRNA from 1 species
GUGGGGAAUAUUGGGCAAUGGUCGGAAGACUGACCCAGCCAUGCCGCGUGCAGGAAGACGGCCCUCUGGGUUGUAAACUGCUUUUAUCUGGGAAGAAAAAGGCCAUGCGUGGCAAAUUGCCGGUACCAGAUGAAUAAGCACCGGCUAACUCCGUGCCAGCAGCCGCGGUAAUACGGAGGGUGCGAGCGUUGUCCGGAUUUAUUGGGUUUAAAGGGUGCGUAGGCGGCUGAUUAAGUCAGCGGUGAAAGACUUCGGCUUAACCGGAGCAGUGCCGUUGAUACUGGUUGGCUUGAGUGUCGGAGGGGUACAUGGAAUUGAUGGUGUAGCGGUGAAAUGCAUAGAUACCAUCAGGAACACCGAUAGCGAAGGCAUUGUACUGGCCGACAACUGACGCUGAUGCACGAAAGUGUGGGGAUCGAACAGGAUUAGAUACCCUUGUAGUCC